UUGGUGUUAGCUAUAUCCAACCUAUUGGUUGCAGAUGGUAAUAUGUGCUAGACUUUCCAUCCCUGACAUAGCCUGUGCCAGUGCUUAGCUUUCCUACUCGUUAGGUUUUCUUAAUAUCUAAUGGAUUCCUUUUUUUCAAUUUAAGACAAUCUUUAUUCAGCUCAUUGGGCAUGGAGAAUAUAUCUGUAUUUAUUUAUGAAAAUUUCUCUUUAAGUUUAAAGUUUUCUAGAAAAAACAGCUCCAAUUCCUUUGAUUGUUUUUGUACUGGUUUUUGCUGGGAUAGAGUUAAAUUUCGUCAUAGUAGCUUGUAUGGGGCUGUCUGUGUUUUGGAUUUGUGCUGACAAUAGUGUUGAUAACGCAGGGGUGUUUUAGUUAUUGCUGAGCAGCGCUGACACAGAGCCCAGGGCUUUUCUGCUCCUCACCCCACCAGCGAGCAGGCUGGGGGGGCACAAGGAGCUGGGAGGGGACACAGCUGGGACAGCUGACCCCAACUGACCACAGGGAUAUUCCACACCAUAUGACAUCGUGCUCAGCAAUAAAACUAGGGAGGAGGUUGGGCAGAGCCUGGGGAGUUGCUGCUCAGGGACUGGCUGAGCAUCACUCGAUGUCAGCAUUGGUGUCCUGCCCCACAAAAUAUAGAAUCACAGAAUGGUCAGGGUUGGAAGGGAUCUCUGGAGAUCACCUAGCCCAACCCCUGCUCGAGCAGGCUCCCCCAGAGCAGGCUGCACAGAGCCACAUCCAGACUUGCUUUCAGGGUCUGGGAAACCAGAGGACUGGCCUUGGCAGUGAAGGCUGAAGCAAAGGUGGCAUUCAGUAACUCCACCUUCUCUGUGUCCUUUGUUACCAUGUGAAAGCUGGUGAAAUGCUUGGAAGGUCCAUCGUCUGGGAAUUAACUGAACUGUGAUGCAUGCGUUGUUCUCAAGUGAGGGUGGAACAGUGGGGUUUGCUCUUCAACAAUUCAACAACGUGGGCACCAGAAGUGGGAUUCAGCUGACUGAAAUAAGUCAUCUACAUCUGCACUGUAGUAGGGUAAAUCCUUUGGGGUGAGAUGACUUGUGCUCCGUGGACUAGAAUGAGAUCAACACUGAUGGUAAAGAAACGCUGCAGUCAGAGGACCUGUGCCAAUAUCACAGAGAUUUCCAAAUUAGUUAACUCACUUGUGUCCUUAACAGUCAUGCUUGUGCCCAUAAAUAGAGGUGUCACUCCUCUCAUAUAGGUUCAUGGUUGGACAUGUAUCUUUUUGUAUUUUCUACAUUUCUCUACCCUGGGAAUAAGCACCUUUUGUUUCCAGUUUAAUUACAUCUCACCCACAGGGGUCUGCUGUUAAUCAGCUGCAUAAUUUUCCAAGUACCUUAUUGAGAUAUUGAUACACAUAACCCUGGAGGUUAAAAAAGCUUGGAAUGAGUUGACAGUAGUCUUGGAAAACCUUCACUUCUCUACAUUGAUCUGGAGUGGCUCUGUUGACUUGAGAAGCUGUUUUCUCUGAUUUCACUCUGGUGUAAUUUAGGGCAGAAUUUGAUCCUGUGUAAAUAGUGUUUAUUGAAAGACAGAAAGUAUCACAUUGUACUAAUGUACUGUAUGUACCAUGAUUUGUUAAUCACCUGUUUGACUUCAAGCUGUAUUAAAAGCAAGGUCUUCAAGUAAAAAAAACGUGACAGUAACUACAUAGAAGUUGACCUUUUAUUUAUUUGCCUGCAAUUUCUCUACAUUGUAUCCCCAAGGAGGCUCUCAAAGCACUUCACAAACAUUUCCUGAGCCUUACAGACUGCAAGAGAGGUAAGAAUUCAUACAGAUGAAGAUAAAAUACCUUUUUCAAAAGAAUCUCACACGCAAGUUGUGGUCCAGUGCAGGGAAUACUGAGCUGAAUUUUAUACCCGUGUCAAUUAUAAAGGCAAACAAGACAUUGAUAAUAGUCUUUGUUGGCAUUAAUUUUAUGAUUUAUUAUCCCCUUAUGGAGUUCCAGAAGCACAAACAUAUUGACAUUUUAAAAUGGUAGGACCUUUGGGUAUAUUUCAGAGUUCUCAGCUUCUGCUUUAAGAAGGCCUGUUUUGGAAGAGAAUAAUUUUGUGGUUUUACUUUUGAUUGUCUAGCUGCAUAGCGUUAGGUAUUUGAUGUAGGUGUUUGGUAAAGAACUACACUCCCAGUAGUGUCAGUGGACAAACUGUUGUCUUAGGCAGUUUCAAUCGGCUUCUUAACUCUGCAGAGCCUAAUGGUAGAUGUUGUGAUUCUCCCUCUGAGUUUCACAUGUUUAUACACUGCUUUUCACUCUUAUCUGAAAAAUAAAUCUGUCCCUUCUGUUGUGGAACAAAGUAUAAUUAGAUUAUACUUAAUGUGAUGUUUCCUGUUACUUAACUUGAUCUUAUAUAGAUUGAUAUUUCCUUGCACUCAUUAUAAUGAUAUGGUUGUGAUUCAUGGAAAAUUAUUUUUGGUACAAAAAGGUUAGGGAAAAGGCUAAUGGGAAAAAAAGGAAGCUAUUUUCAAGUAAUUAGGAGCAUUUAUCAGCUUGAUGUUUAUUACUAUUUUUUAUGCACUAUGUUUUUGUUUCCUGUUCUAGGACAAUUCCACCCAGUGAAUCAUGGAUGGCAUUUUUAUGGCAUCAUAAAUAAAAAUUUCCUUUGACAUGUUGUC